rnacentral:rRNA from 1 species
CCUACGGGAGGCUGCAGUCGAGAAUCAUUCACAAUGGGGGAAACCCUGAUGGUGCGACGCCGCGUGGGGGAAUGAAGGUCUUCGGAUUGUAAACCCCUGUCAUGUGGGAGCAAAUUAAAAAGAUAGUACCACAAGAGGAAGAGACGGCUAACUCUGUGCCAGCAGCCGCAGUAAUACAGAGGUCUCAAGCGUUGUUCGGAAUCACGGGGCGUAAAGCGUGCGUAGGCUGUUUCGUAAGUCGUGUGUGAAAGGCGCGGGCUCAACCCGCGGACGGCACAUGAUACUGCGAGACUAGAGUAAGGGAGAGGUAAGCGGAAUGCGCGGUGUAGCAGUGAAAUGCGUAGAUAUCGAGAAGAACACUCGUGGCGAAGGCAGGUUCCUGGACAUUAACUGACGCUGAGGCACGAAGGCCAGGGGAGCGAAAGGGAUUAGAUACCCGUGUAGUC